CCUACGGGAGGCAGCAGCUAAGAAUCUUGCGCAAUGGGCGAAAGCCUGACGCAGCAACGCCGCGUGGGGGACGAAGGUCCUAGGAUUGUAAACCCCUUUUGCGAGGGAAGAAGUUCUGACGGUACCUCGCGAAUAAGACACGGCUAACUACGUGCCAGCAGCCGCGGUAAUA
rnacentral:rRNA from 1 species